rnacentral:pre_miRNA from 1 species
AGCCUUCUGUAUCCAUACUGGAAUUUCGUCCUACACCAGCCCACAAGGGCUGAUGAGACUCCCAAGAUUAGUGAAUCU